AACGAACGCUGGCGGCGCGUCUUAAGCAUGCAAGUCGAACGGCAAGAGAGGAGCUUGCUUCUCUCCUAGAGUGGCGGACUGGUGAGGAACACGUGGGUAAUCUACCCUUAAGAUGGGGAUAGCUGCUAGAAAUAGCAGGUAAUACCGAAUACACUCGGCAUAUCACAAGAGGUGUUGAGGAAAGGAAGCUACGGCUUCGCUUGAGGAUGAGCUUGCGUCCCAUUAGCUAGUUGGUGAGGUAAAGGCCCACCAAGGCGACGAUGGGUAUCCGGCCUGAGAGGGUGAACGGACACAUUGGGACUGAGAUACGGCCCAAACUCCUACGGGAGGCAGCAGCUAAGAAUAUUCCGCAAUGGACGGAAGUCUGACGGAGCGACGCCGCGUGGAUGAAGAAGGCUGAAGAGUUGUAAAAUCCUUUUGUUGAUGAAGAAUAAGGGUGAGAGGGAAUGCUCAGCUGAUGACGGUAAUCGACGAAUAAGCCCCGGCUAAUUACGUG
rnacentral:rRNA from 1 species